rnacentral:rRNA from 1 species
CCUAUGAAGCUUUACUGUAACUUGAAAUUGAAAUUGGACUUUAGUCGCGCAGUAUAGGUGGGAGGCGUUGAAAAUAAUCUUGCGGGAAUAUUGGAGCCAUCAGUGAGAUACCACUCUUCUAAUGUUAGAUUUCUAACUUUGAACCAUUAUCUGGUCAAAGGACAGUUUCAGGCGGGCAGUUUGACUGGGGCGGUCGCCUCCCAAAUGGUAACGGAGGCGUACAAAGGUUUCCUCUGAACGGGUAGAAAUCGUAUCUAGAGUGUAAAGGCAUAAGGAAGCUUGACUGUGAGACCUACAAGUCGAACAGGGACGAAAGUCGGUCUUAGUGAUCUGACGGUACUGAGUGGAAAGG